rnacentral:sRNA from 1 species
GCCAGCCUCACCCGGCACAGUGAGCGGAGCGCCUGGGCGGCGGCGGCGGCGUGAUGGCUCCGGCCGCGGACCGGGAGGGCUUCUGGGGCCCCACGACCUCCACGCUGGACUGGUGCGAGGAGAACUACUCCGUGACUUGGUACAUCGCCGAGUUCUGGAAUACAGUGAGUAACCUGAUCAUGAUUAUACCUCCAAUGUUCGGUGCAAUUCAGAGUGUUAGAGACGGUCUGGAAAAACGGUACAUUGCUUCUUAUUUAGCACUCACAGUGGUAGGAAUGGGAUCCUGGUGCUUCCACAUGACUCUGAAAUAUGAAAUGCAGCUAUUGGAUGAACUCCCAAUGAUAUACAGCUGUUGCAUAUUUGUGUACUGCAUGUUUGAAUGUUUCAAGAUCAAGAACUCAGUAAACUACCAUCUGCUUUUUACCUUAGUUCUAUUCAGUUUAAUAGUAACCACAGUUUACCUUAAGGUAAAAGAGCCGAUAUUCCAUCAGGAGUCUCACUCUGUCAUCCAGGCUGAAGUGCAAUGGCACAAUCUCGGCUCAUUGGAA